UUUAUGAGGUGCAACCAAAACAGCUGUUUGACAUUGCAACAGGGAUAUUCUGGCAGGCUGUCGAGAAUUAGUUCUUGAAUACUGUUAUGGUUUUGAUCACUAAAAUGGCUGUGACUUUUGGACUCUCUUUGAGUGUUUCUUGGAUUUGUUGCCUGCUAAUUGGAGGGAUAACUUGUUUUACACUUAAAGGUAACGCUCAUGGGCAUCCUGCCUACACUGGACCUGAACCGACUGGAUCCUAUGCCCAAGCAAGUGUGGUGUCUGGUCCAAAUGCUAAAGCUACUGGCCACAAUGCCACGUGAGCGAAGCUACUGGCCACAAUGCCACGUGAGCGGAAGCUACUGGCCACAAUGCCACGUCAGCGGAAGCUACUGGCCACAAUGCCACGUCAGCGGAAGCUACUGGCCACAAUGCCACAUCAGCGGAAGCUACUGGCCACAAAGCCACGUCAGCGGAAGCUACUGGCCACAAUGCCACGUCAAGUGUGAAGUCCGGCCCCGCAGCAGAAGCUUCAGGCCCCGGCGCCUCAGCAGAAGCUUCAGGCCCCGGCGCCUCAGCAGAAGCUUCAGGCCCCGGCGCCUCAGCAGAAGCUUCAGGCCCC